GACGAACGCUGGCGGCGUGCCUAAUACAUGCAAGUAGAACGCUGAAGCGAGGAGCUUGCUCUUCUUGGAUGAGUUGCGAACGGGUGAGUAACGCGUAGGUAACCUGCCUUGUAGCGGGGGAUAACUAUUGGAAACGAUAGCUAAUACCGCAUAACAAUGGAUGACACAUGUCAUUUAUUUGAAAGGGGCAAUUGCUCCACUACAAGAUGGACCUGCGUUGUAUUAGCUAGUAGGUGAGGUAAUGGCUCACCUAGGCGACGAUACAUAGCCGACCUGAGAGGGGGAUCGGCCACACUGGGACUGAGACACGGCCCAGACUCCUACGGGAGGCAGCAGUAGGGAAUCUUCGGCAAUGGGGGCAACCCUGACCGAGCAACGCCGCGUGAGUGAAGAAGGUUUUCGGAUCGUAAAGCUCUGUUGUAAGUCAAGAACGGGUGUGAGAGUGGAAAGUUCACACUGUGACGGUAGCUUACCAGAAAGGGACGGCUAACUACGUG
rnacentral:rRNA from 1 species